GACGAACGCUGGCGGCGUGCUUAACACAUGCAAGUCGAGCGGUAAGGCCCUUUCGGGGGUACACGAGCGGCGAACGGGUGAGUAACACGUGGGUGACCUGCCCCCAGCUCUGGGAUAAGCCUGGGAAACCGGGUCUAAUACUGGAUAUGACUCCAUGACGCAUGUUGUGGGGUGAAAGCCUUGUGCGGCUGAGGAUGGGCCCG
rnacentral:rRNA from 1 species